GCGAAACCGUGUGAUCUACCCAUGGGCAGGUUGAAGCUGUGGUAACACACAGUGGAGGACCGAACCGGUUGACGUUGAAAAGUCUUCGGAUGACCUGUGGGUAGGGGUGAAAGGCCAAUCAAGCUCGGAAAUAGCUCGUACUCCCCGAAAUGCAUUUAGGUGCAGCGUUGAGAUAGAGUGUCAUAGAGGUAGAGCUACUGAUAGGGCUAGGGGGCUUCACCGCCUACCAAACCCUGACAAACUCCGAAUGCUAUGACAUAUGCUCAGCAGUGAGGGCAUGGGUGCUAAGGUCCUUGUCCGAGAGGGAAAGAACCCGGACCAUCAGCUAAGGUCCCCAAAUAUGUGCUAAGUUGACAAAACGCGGUGGGACUGCACAGACAGCCAGGAUGUUGGCUUGGAAGCAGCCAUUCAUUUAAAGAGUGCGUAACAGCUCACUGGUCGAGCG
rnacentral:rRNA from 1 species